rnacentral:rRNA from 1 species
CGGAAAGACCCCGUGGAGCUUUACUGUAGCCUGAUAUUGAAAUUCGGCACAGCUUGUACAGGAUAGGUAGGAGCCUUUGAAACGUGGGCGCUAGCUUACGUGGAGGCGCUGGUGGGAUACUACCCCAGCUGUGUUGGCUUUCUAACCCGCACCACUUAUCGUGGUGGGAGACAGUGUCAGGCGGGCAGUUUGACUGGGGCGGUCGCCUCCUAAA